rnacentral:rRNA from 1 species
CUGCUGCCUUCCGUAGGAGUUUGGGCCGUGUCUCAGUCCCAAUGUGGCCGUCCACCCUCUCAGGCCGGCUACUGAUCGUCGCUUUGGUAGGCCGUUACCCUGCCAACUGGCUAAUCAGACGCGG